rnacentral:rRNA from 1 species
CACAAGCGGUGGAGCAUGUGGUUUAAUUCGAUGCAACGCGAAGAACCUUACCUGGUCUUGACAUCCACAGAACUUUCCAGAGAUGGAUUGGUGCCUUCGGGAACUGUGAGACAGGUGCUGCAUGGCUGUCGUCAGCUCGUGUUGUGAAAUGUUGGGUUAAGUCCCGCAACGAGCGCAACCCUUAUCCUUUGUUGCCAGCGGUCCGGCCGGGAACUCAAAGGAGACUGCCAGUGAUAAACUGGAGGAAGGUGGGGAUGACGUCAAGUCAUCAUGGCCCUUACGACCAGGGCUACACACGUGCUACAAUGGCGCAUACAAAGAGAAGCGACCUCGCGAGAGCAAGCGGACCUCAUAAAGUGCGUCGUAGUCCGGAUUGGAGUCUGCAACUCGACUCCAUGAAGUCGGAAUCGCUAGUAAUCGUAGAUCAGAAUGCUACGGUGAAUACGUUCCCGGGCCUU